CCUACGGGAGGCAGCAGUGAGGAAUAUUGGUCAAUGGGCGAGAGCCUGAACCAGCCAAGUCGCGUGAGGGAGUACUGCCCUAUGGGUUGUAAACCUCUUUUGUCGGGGAGCAAAAGCCGGACGUGUCCGGCUGUGAGAGUACCCGAAGAAAAAGCAUCGGCUAACUCCGUGCCAGCAGCCGCGGUAAUACGGAGGAUGCGAGCGUUAUCCGGAUUUAUGGGGUUUAAAGGGUGCGCAGGCGGAUUUUUAAGUCAGCGGUCAAAUCGUGGGGCUAAACCCCAUCCAGCCGUUGACACUGGGGAUCUAGAGUGUGCGAGAGGGAUGCGGAAUGCGUGGUGUAGCGGUGAAAUGCAUAGAGAUCACGCAGAACCCCGAUUGCGAAGGCAGCAUACCGGUGCACAACUGACGCUCAGGCACGAAAGCGUGGGUAUCGAACAGGAUUAGAUACCCUUGUAGUC
rnacentral:rRNA from 1 species